rnacentral:rRNA from 1 species
ACCAGAGCCAUAUCUCGCUGCAGUUCUCGCCUGGUUUCCCACUGAAUCUAAGCAGCGUUGAGCCUGGCCAGUAACUGGAUGGGAGACCUUCUGGGGAAAAACAAAGGUUGAUGCUGGAA